GCGGGUGUAACUCAGUUGGUAGAGUGGCUGUUUUGUAAACAGCCUGUCGGGGGUUCGAAUCCCUCCAUCCGCU
rnacentral:tRNA from 2 species